AUGGAGAACAACCACCCGGUGGCCUACUUAAGUAAAGCUCUGGCCCCUCAUAACAUGGGACUGUCGGCCUACGAAAAAGAAUGGCUGGCUCUCCUUUUGGCAGUGGAUCACUGGCGGCCCUACCUCCAGCACGCAGAAUUUGUAGUGCGGACAGAUCAAAAGAGCUUGCUCAACUUAACAGAUCAGAGAUUUAACACGCCAAUACAGCAGCGAGCGUCUACCAAACUGAUUGGACUGCAGUUUACUAUUCAGUAUAAAGCAAGACUGACCAACAAAGCUGCGGACGCGCUAUCUCGUCGCGCACCUGGACAGGAAACAUAA
rnacentral:rRNA from 1 species